CAUUACGGACAUGAUUUAUUGUAGGAGGAAGGGAAGUUUAUACUUUGCCGCACCCUUCCUCCUCUACAGUAUGCUCCAAGAGAAAUGAUAAAUGGCGCCGUAGCUGGAGCGGCUUAGGGGUUCUUUUCGAAGAGGCUCAAUGAGGAUGUUUUUCUGUUCCUUACCGACGGCUGCUACAUACGUAUGUAUUUAUAUUCUGGAUCGGUGGAUGAUGGCUGCUGGGCGGAUGAUGAAUGUUGAAAUUCUUGGGAAUGCUCAGGAUAUUGAUGAGUUGAUCUUGCGGAAUACUACUCGGAUUGUUUUUCCCUCAGCUUAACUCGUCUUAUGUAUUUUCACUCAGUCAACAAAUAAGUGGAAGCAGCUAGAGCUCACUGGAUUCUCUAACAACCAACAACAAUCAACAAAGCAAGUUGAUCAUUCAGCAAUAUCACAAUAUUUACAAAAACCUCUCUUUUUAAAUAGUGUUGUCCCUUUUGGAAAUCAUCCAUUGAUUGUGAUAGGCCUUACAGAAAGGAUGAUAUAAAAUAAUACAAGGGAAACCCUUAUCAGAAGUCAAGGCAAAAUAGUCGCGUUGAAGAUGAAUUAAAGGAAUAAAAAGCAAAAAAAAAGUCCAAAAAUAGGGCACAGAAGAAGUAUUAGGGAAAAGAGGAAACCGCAUAUCUAUCCAGGAAUCGACCUCGUUUAGAGUAUAAUAAAAAAGAAAGAAAAAAAAAUUAAUCCGAACUUGUAAAGGAGAAUACAUGUACAUACAUAGCAAGUAGCGGCAUAAUGCGCAUUUAAACGUUGGAAGGCGCCAUGUAAAACGGAACUC
rnacentral:sRNA from 1 species